UGGGGAAUUUUGGACAAUGGGCGAAAGCCUGAUCCAGCAAUGCCGCGUGUGUGAAGAAGGCCUUCGGGUUGUAAAGCACUUUUGUCCGGAAAGAAAUCCUUGGCUCUAAUACAGUCGGGGGAUGACGGUACCGGAAGAAUAAGCACCGGCUAACUACGUGCCAGCAGCCGCGGUAAUACGUAGGGUGCAAGCGUUAAUCGGAAUUACUGGGCGUAAGCGUGCGCAGGCGGUUUGCUAAGACCGAUGUGAAAUCCCCGGGCUCAACCUGGGAACUGCAUUGGUGACUGGCAGGCUAGAGUAUGGCAGAGGGGGGUAGAAUUCCACGUGUAGCAGUGAAAUGCGUAGAGAUGUGGAGGAAUACCGAUGGCGAAGGCAGCCCCCUGGGCCAAUACUGACGCUCAUGCACGAAAGCGUGGGGAGCAAACAGGAUUAGAUACCCUGGUAGUCCAGCGCCCUAAACGAUGUCAACUAG
rnacentral:rRNA from 1 species